AUAUGCCCAGUUAAAUUUGGAUUUUAGAUAAACAAUAAUUCUUAGCAUAAAUAUGUCUCAUGAAAUAUUUUGGACAUACUUACGCUAAAAAAAAAUUCAUUGUUUAUCUGAAAUUCAUAUUUACCUGGACAUUCUGUAUUUU
rnacentral:miRNA from 1 species